GAACGCACAUUGCGCCCCCUGGCAUUCCGGGGGGCAUGCCUGUCCGAGCGUCAUUUCUGCCCUCAAGCACGGCUUGUGUGUUGGGUGCGGUCCCCCCGGGGACCUGCCCGAAAGGCAGCGGCGACGUCCGUCUGGUCCUCGAGCGUAUGGGGCUCUGUCACUCGCUCGGGAAGGACCUGCGGGGGUUGGUCACCACUAUAUUUUACCACGGUUGACCUCGGAUCAGGUAGGAGUUACCCGCUGAACUUAAG
rnacentral:misc_RNA from 1 species